rnacentral:rRNA from 1 species
UGGGGAAUAUUGGACAAUGGGCGAAAGCCUGAUCCAGCCAUGCCGCGUGUGUGAAGAAGGUCUUCGGAUUGUAAAGCACUUUACGUUGGGAGGAAGGGCAGUAAGCUAAUACCUUGCUGUUUUGACGUUACCGACAGAAUAAGCACCGGCUAACUCUGUGCCAGCAGCCGCGGUAAUACAGAGGGUGCAAGCGUUAAUCGGAAUUACUGGGCGUAAAGCGCGCGUAGGUGGUUCGUUAAGUUGGAUGUGAAAGCCCCGGGCUCAACCUGGGAACUGCAUCCAAAACUGGCGAGCUAGAUUACGGUGUAGGGUAGUGGAAUUUCCUUUGUAGCGGUGAAAUGCGUAGAUAUAGGAAGGAACACCAGUGGCGAAGGCGACCACCUGGACUGAUACUGACACUGAGGUGCGAAGGCGUGGGGAGCAAACAGGA